rnacentral:tRNA from 1 species
GCGGGUUUGGUGUAGUGGCAACAUGCGACGUUUCCAACGUUGAGACAUAGGUUCGAAACCUGUAACCCGCU